GCUGUGGAACUCCUACGGGAGGCAGCAGUGGGGAAUUUUGGACAAUGGGGGCAACCCUGAUCCAGCGACGCCGCGUGAGGGAUGACGGCCUUCGGGUUGUAAACCUCUUUCAGUAGGGAAGAAGCGAAAGUGACGGUACCUGCAGAAGAAGCGCCGGCUAACUACGUGCCAGCAGCCGCGGUAAUACGUAGGGCGCAAGCGUUAUCCGGAAUUAUUGGGCGUAAAGAGCUCGUAGGCGGUUUGUCGCGUCUGCCGUGAAAGUCCGGGGCUCCACUCCGGAUCUGCGGUGGGUACGGGCAGACUAGAGUGAUGUAGGGGAGACUGGAAUUCCUGGUGUAGCGGUGAAAUGCGCAGAUAUCAGGAGGAACACCGAUGGCGAAGGCAGGUCUCUGGGCAUUAACUGACGCUGAGGAGCGAAAGCAUGGGGAGCGAACAGGAUUAGAUACCCGAGUAGUCCUACCACGU
rnacentral:rRNA from 1 species